AGUCGAACGGUGAAGAGGAGCUUGCUCCUCGGAUCAGUGGCGGACGGGUGAGUAACACGUGAGCAACCUGCCUUUCAGUGGAGGGACAACAGUUGGAAACGACUGCUAAUACCGCAUAACGUGCCGGAGGGGCAUCCUUUUGGUACCAAAGAUUUAUCGCUGAAAGAUGGGCUCGCGUCUGAUUAGAUAGUUGGUGAGGUAACGGCCCACCAAGUCGACGAUCAGUAGCCGGACUGAGAGGUUGAUCGGCCACAUUGGGACUGAGACACGGCCCAGACUCCUACGGGAGGCAGCAGUGGGGAAUAUUGGACAAUGGGGGGAAACCCUUAUCCAGCGACGCCGCGUGAGGGAAGAAGGUUUUCGGAUUGUAAACCUCUGUCAGUGGGGACGAUAAUGACGGUACCCACGGAGGAAGCCACGGCUAACUACGUGCCAGCAGCCGCGGUAAUACGUAGGUGGCAAGCGUUGUCCGGAAUUACUGGGUGUAAAGGGAGCGUAGGCGGGAUGUCAAGUCAGAAGUGAAAAUUAUGGGCUCAACUCAUAACUUGCUUUUGAAACUGAUAUUCUUGAGUGAAGUAGAGGCAAGCGGAAU
rnacentral:rRNA from 1 species